CAGGGCUUAAAACGGUGCUGGCACAGAGUGUGUGUUUAACAGAUGUUGAACCACUCCUCCAUCUCUCCAGAAAACAUGGGGCCUUCAGUGAAGACAUCUGCUGAGAGAGGAGAACAUACCAAGAAGGACAGAGUGACCAGGCUUCCCUACCAGGCCAGGUGAGCAGGAGCUGAGGAACUCUAAGGCAUCGAAAAUGUGUGCUCACCGCAGCAGAGUUUCGAGCUCAUGGGAAGUGAGGAGCCAGUUAGAGCAACCUCGUGAUAGGGAUGGCGCAGCUUGAGAGGCAAACCAAGAUGCCUAGCUCCAGCCCCGAGAGCAGAAAGGUGUUCUGGGUGUGAGCGAGUGUGAGAGACGGCUGUUCUCUUCAGGCACGAACGGGUCACAGCCAUCUUUGCUGCCUUUGAACAGGAAGAACUGUGAACUCCGGUCUAUAGCAGGGUUGACAAACUUUGUAAAGGGCUGGAUAGCAAUUUGUUCCCCCUGCUUUGCAAGCCAUUCAAUCUCUGUUGCCACUGCUUGAUUCUGUGAUUCUCUUGUAGUGCAAAA